UACUGUAUUCAUAGACUCACUCUAUCAUCUUUAACAGAGCGAUGGAUUUUGAUGAUAAAAGACUGUAAUUGCAUUCACUGCAAUAUGCAUUUAAGCUGUCAUCCUUCAGCUGCUCAUUUUGUUACAUCUUCACUUUAGCAGAGCUAUUAUCAAUGAAAUCAGAGUGUGCGGUACAGAGGCAUUCUAUCUAAAAGAUAUGCAAAACCCCAUCCUAGUUUACAGUCUACUCUUUACAGCUCUGAGGUUAGAUGACGAUGAAGAGACAGAGGCAGUUGUGGACCUAGAGAUUCUGAGAUGCUCAGGCAGCAGCAACUGUGGAUUAUCAGAGUCUCAAACAUAGCAGAAAGGCUUCAGGAAGAUCCGGGCUUGUGGUAGACCUGACUCCAAAUCAGUUAAAAGGUGCCACGUGUGUGCCAUCAAUUGUGAUUUUCAUCUGAACCAUUCCAAAAGUUCAGGGUGCGUAUCCAAAGCUGCUCUGUGGUAACAGGAAGUUUUGCUUUGGUUUUGCUCUUCAUAUGUGACCGGAAAUUCCUGAGAGCUACGUAGAAUGUUCAAGGGUUCCAAGAGACAUGUUCAGGGGUGGGUAAGUCUUCCUUUUAUCAACUAUCAUAUGAGGACAAUUUUUCAUAUAUGUCAAACAAACAAACAAAAAAUAAGACUGUAUAUAGAAGCAAAUGUGAAAAAUCUACUUUAUAUUAAAACAAAUUUUAAUGAUACUUUCAAAAAUAUAAACCAUGAAAUUUUUCUUUUUUUUGUUUUUGAAAUUACUGUUAAUUUUUAUAAAAUGUCAUUUUUCUUUAUAUUGAAGCUUGUUGAUUAUUCAUCUUAAAUAUAUAUAGUCUUUGCUUAUAUUUUAUUUUCAUAAAUUAUGAACAGCUAUAACUUGUAUAGACCAAAGCACUUUGGAGUCUUCAGUACAUUUUAAGAUUUAAGGGAUCUUCAAUAUGUAAAAAGAAUUUUGUUGUACUUAUUUAUCUUGACUGUGUGUGUGUGUGUGUGUGUGUGUGUGUGUGUGUGUGUGUGUGUGUGUUUGCGCGCACGCGCACACAUGCAUGCAUGCAUGCAUGCAGUGGCAUAGGUGUCAAGGUCAGAGGAGUCAUUUCUUUCCUCCCACCAUGCAGAUUCCAAGGACAGAACCCAGGUUGUCAGGUUUGGCCUUAACAAACUGAAACAUUUUGCUUGCUCAGUGCAUAAUAUUUUGGAGAAAAACAAACAAACACUGAAAACUGCUUUUUAAUAUAGUCCUUUCUGACAUCCAACAAGAUCAUCUGUGAAAUGCUGCAUUCAGCCCGAAUGGUGUUUAUUUACUUAUGUUAAUUUAAACAAGUGUAUUUGAUGAGUUAUAUAAAUGUGUAUAUGUAUAUAUACACAUGCAUCCAUACAUACAACUUUAUUUAAUAAAGCUAAAUUUUUCUUUAUUCUCACAAAUUCUUCAGGUUUCAAACUUACACCAUAUCCUUUUUUCUUUCAGUUGGCAUUGCUGCAUAUUUGUUUCUGUCUCUGUGUCUCUAGAGAUAUUUGAAUCUGGAGUCUCCAUUCUGAAAGGUCACUAACUUCUGUUUCAUCUAUAAACUGGUGAUGAAGGUUUUGUCUGGUAUCUUAUAGGAAAUUUUGGAGGCUAAAAUCAAAUUACGGAUACCAGAAAUGUGAAUGUGUGGAAAUAACACAGUGCAUGGUACAAGAAACUGACAGAAAUCAUCAUUACUCUGAUUACUAUUAUGAUUACAUCAUUUUUUAAAGGAAGUUUAAACAUGAAAUUGAGGAGGUUUAUAACCCAACUGAAGAUUUCCAGUUUCUUGAACAAUACAUAUUUUCUCACGGUGUGUGUUCUUUUCUUUUGUCAAUAGAGUGAAGAAGAAUCGUAAUGAAAUGAAAGCAGCAUAGAAACUAAGACAAGGACUUCUGGUCAAGAGAUUGGGAGUCCUGUGGUGCUCAGAUGCUCUUUAGUAACUAGCUGGAAAAGCAUGAAUAAAUAACUCAACUUUCCUUAUCUCAUUGUUUUUGCUACAUCUUUAGAGUGAGGUUAUUGGAUUGCAAUGAUUUUAUAAGAACAGGAGAAUAUGUUUUCUUCUCAUUUGUAAUACUGGUGCUUUUCAGAGUCCGUACACAUUGUCUAGAAAUCCAGAACAGUUCUGGAAAAUGUUAUAGGAACUUUUUAAUCAUUUCAGAUGAAUAGACUGAUUUAAAAAAACACAAUUAUAAGGUAGCUUCUGUAAACCAAGUUUAUACCAUGCUGUAGGGAACAAAGUGUUUCAUAAUUAUGAAUUUUUCAAUAAUUGACACAAACUUCUUUAAGAUUCACAAAUCUGCUUUGGUUUCUUUUUCUAGGAAUUAUUUCUUUACAAACAUACCUUACUUUUUAACAUCUUUGAAACAGCAGCUAUAGGGAUUUAGAGCUCCUCUUUAUUGUUCAGGUCUUUGCCUCACGGUUUUCUGUUCAUAGGGGAGGGAUUUCCACAGUGCCUUCUAAACCAUCAUGUGGCCAAUGAACUAGUUCUGUAGUUUCAAUAAGUAAUAAGUAAAAUUUUUUUUUAAAAAAUUGUGGUUAUGUAGCCAAUGAAUCAGUUUUUCUGUGACAUUUAUACUUUAAACAUUAAACUAAUUAAAUCACAUUUUGCUAAAGCCACAAGUAUGUCUUAUUUGUUUUUAAAUUUAAAAACUCUUGAAAAUGAACUAUUGUAAAACUAUUAAUGAAAAGUACAAAUAUUUAAUGUAGUUUAUAAUUAGUAUUUUAUUUUAUAAAAUGUAUUUUUUUUUUUUUUUUGGUUUUUCGAGACAGGGUUUCUCUGUGUAGUUUUGUGCCUUUCCUGGAACUCACUUUGUAGACCAGGCUGGCCUCGAACUCACAGAGAUCUGCCUGCCUCUGCCUCCCAAGUGCUGAGAUUAAAGGCGUGCGCCACCACCUUUUAUAAAGUCUUAUGAAACUCAUAAACUAUAUUAUUUCUUUAUCUCAAGUAGAUUUGAAACAUAAAUAUUAUUGUCAUUGAAUUGGUUUUAUAUGUGGAUGUACAUUUGUCACAGAAAUGUUACUAAUCCCUGGGAAGAAAGAGUUCUCUUUCAGACUGAAUAAUAUUAAAUCAAGAAUGUUUUACUUUCUGGGGUUUCCUGAUUUCAGUUAAUCACUGAAGAUUUUUUAUAGUACUAGUCGUAAACUAAUUGGGAUGUGUUUUUCCUUAAAUAUCUAUUGGUUUAAUACAUGGAUUAAAUCAAAUACUGAUAGAAAAUAUAUAGAAAAGGCUGUACUGAUCAUAAAUAGAUUUUUCUUGUAAUUAUUCUAUAAAUAAUGCACUAUUGCAACUACUUACAUAGUAAUUAAUAUUGGGUACUAUAAGUGAACCAGAAACAGUUUUAAACAUAUGAGAGAGUAUACCUGUUACUUGCAAAUGCUCUCCACUUUAUCAUAGGGAACCUACAUAAGUGUAGAUUUUAGUAUUGUUGAAAUUCUUGGACUUUCUCCUAGAUGAGGAGGGCUGUGAUUUGAAUUGAAUAUAAUUUAUGUGUGUGAAUAUAUUUUGAAACAUUUAUUCUGUACUUUUUUCAUGAACUAUAUAACAUUUGUUAUGUUAUAUGUUAUACUUAUCAUGUUAUAUCAUGUUGACUGGAAUCUUUUACCCAAAUAACUACUCUAAUUAAUAUACAUUUAAAUUGGUAAGUUGGUUAGUAGAUGAACAUUCAUUUAUUUUAUUUUAUUUCUCCUUUUGAUACAUUUUCAAGUAGUGUUAAACCUUAUUAUUUUGUUGACUUUAUGACAAUCACAAAAAUGUUCCAAGACCAUCUAGAUUUUUAUUCCUUUUAAGUACAUGGAAACAACUCCUGAAAGAUCAGUGAUUUCUUUUAAGAGAAAAUGAAUUAAAGAAGAAAACCAUGUAGAAAAAUGUGUAUGCCUAUUAGGACUAGAUAAAAUACUUAAAGCUAGGAAAAUCAAUGACAAUUCGGAAAUAUUCUGGUUAUGGUCAUGAUUUUACAUUGAUAUUUACAGCUUGUUUUGAAUAUCUUAAUUUCUUGACAUAGCAUGAAACAAUUAUUUUUCUUGUUAACGUGAUUGUGUAGAAGGAUGUAUAGAUCACUAACAAAGCUACAGGAUGGUGGUGGCAUAUGUCUUUAAUCCCAGUACUCAGAGACCAAUCUGGUCCACAGAGAGAGUUCUAGGACACAUAAGUCUGCACAGAGAAACCCUGUCUCUGAAAACAAACAAAAAAGCAAGCAAAUAAAACAAAACUAGCAAAGCACAUUUCUGGGUGUGUACAUCAAUCUUCUUUGAACAUACUCUCAGAGAAGUGUGGCCAGAGAAGAUUGACAUAUGGCACAGAAAACUGAGUGGAGAAGACAGUCCCUAAUGUGGGCAGCAAUGUAUACGAGGCUGGGCUUGGCUUUAAUAAUAAGUGGAAGAAAAGGAAAGUUUGUUUUGCAUGUCUUAAAGUUCUAUUCUUUAAAUGAGUUAUUUUUUCUUUUAUGUGAUUGUAUUUCCCAUGCACAUCAGACUCCAGAUUUUUCAGUGGUUAACAUCCAGGUUCUCACAGUUUCUUCUCAAAAUGCUUUCUGCUUAGAUUGGGCAGAACUACUGGUGUCUCUCACUCUGAGGCUGUCAGCUUCUGUACUGAGCAGAUAACGUUUUCCCUAGCUCUUUCACCUGAAUAUGGUCACUAUGGGACUAUUUGGCUUCUGAGGGGGUCAGCCAAUCUAACACAUCUUCCCCUAUAAUCAAACAUAGUUAUAUUCUUCGAUUCUGUUCCUCUAGAGAAUCCUGACAUAUACCAAGAUCAUUCUUAUAGUUUAAGAUUUUAAAACCAUAAUUUUCUAAAACAUAAAUUAUUUUAGAACCUAAAUUUGAGCUACAGUACUCCUGUCUGAUUUCACAUUUUAAUUUUUACCUCUCAUCACUUUCUGUGGAAGAAGUAACAUUAUUAUAAAAGUGUUAUUUUGCUCUUAUGUGAUAUGAUAAUAGUUGAGGUCGUUUUGGCAUGACAGUUUUAUAUAUCCUGAAAGAAAGUGGCCCAAGGCUGCUCCACUUUUUAAGGUGACUUCUUUCCCCAUGAUUUUGUCUUUGUGAACUUUCAUUAAAGGUUCAGUCUCAUUUCUUUUCUUAGUCAGAUUGAAACCAGUCGCAUAGAGAAAGGUCUGAUGUUCACCAAGCAGCCACAGAUGUUGGUGGAAUGAAUUCACAGUGAACUGAGAACCCGGCCUGCUCUCUACUUACAGGGUUCUUCACCUUCUCUGCACCACAAACAACAUAGCCUGCUCUUGCUCUGGUAGUAAUUCCCAUGUGUGUUAUCCUGAGCUCACUCAAUGCUGAAGCUGUAAUUUCCUGAGUGAUGAAGUUGAGGAAGAGAGAUUAUUGGAAAAUCACAAAUACAACGGUUAUAGGUCAACUUUUGAUGCUGCUCUGAGACCUGUUCCUUAUUUAUACUGUGUUCAGAAAUCUUCGUGGAUGUUAAAGCAUAAAAGACCCCGGCAAGACUUGAGGAUGAUCCCAACAAGAACUUCUAACAGAUACAAUUUUGAUCUCACUCAAUUUCUUCUGGUAAUGUAAUACUCUAUAGAAAUCUAUUAAAACUUCAGUUUAAUGCAAAUAAUUUUUAUCAAAUAAAUUGUUUUUCUUUUCUCCCUGACACCAGUGUUCUCUGUAGUUGACCUUUGCAACAAUGGCAGCCUAGUCUCCACCCAUCCUAUAGAGCAGAUUUAAAAUGUUCCCACUUCAGUUGUAUUUUACUGUGUGUAUAUAAAAAGGACUUCAUUGUCUUCAUGGCCUUUGUCUGCUGACAGGAAAUUGGUAUAUUUAUUUUAUUGAUAGGAAGAAAUGUUUCUCAUCUUCAAAGGAAAAAAAUGAACAGGCAGCCCAAUAAUAUGAAUUAAAGAAGUCCAGAUAACUCAAUAUUUUAUGACCAUUCUUCAUUCAUUAAAUGCAAAAAUCGAGGCUUUUUAUUUUUUCUACAAUACUACCUAACAGUAUAUAUAUUUCUAGAUGAGGAUUAAUGUUACCAUAAGUAUAUAUAUAUUUGAUAUGACAAUUUGAUUUCCCUGCUUUGUAAACUAUUUCUCUCUGCAUUCUUCUUUGCUCAUAUUUAAAAAUCUCAGAAUCAAUUUUCACUGGAUUGUUCUGCUCUUUCCAUUAUUCAUGACAAAAAAAUAUUUUUUUCCUUUUCCCUCUCAAGCUUAAUGAAAAUCUUUUCAUUUGCAUAUGAAUCUUUAGAGUGGACCUUUAAUCUGUUGGCUGUUUUUCAUGCUCAUGUGAACAAAUUUAUCUUUCCCAAUCGUUGUCUUCCUCUCAUCACUCCUUCAAUAAAAUAUUUUCUUCUACUUUU